UACGGAAGGCAGCAGUGGGGAAUAUUGCACAAUGGGCGAAAGCCUGAUGCAGCUAUGCCGCGUGUAUGAAGAAGGCCUUAGGGUUGUAAAGUACUUUCAUCGGGGAGGAAAAACAAAACUAAUAAUUUUAUUUCUUGACGUUACCCGAAAAAGAAGCACCGGCUAACUCCGUGCCAGCAGCCGCGGUAAUACGGAGGGUGCUAGCGUUAAUCAGAAUUACUGGGCGUAAAGAGCACGUAGGUGGUUUUUUUAAGUCAGAUGUGAAAUCCCUGGGCUUAACCUAGGAACUGCAUUUUGAAACUGAAAUACUAGAGUAUCGUAGAGGGAGGUAGAAUUCUAGGUGUAGCGGUGAAAUGCGUAGAUAUCUGGAGGAAUACCUGUGGCAAAAGCGGCCUCCUAAACGAAUACUGACACUGAGGUGCGAAAGCGUGGGGAGCAAACAGGGAUUAGAUACC
rnacentral:rRNA from 1 species